rnacentral:rRNA from 1 species
GUGAAAUUGUUGAAAGGGAAACGCUUGAAGUCAGGCGCGUUCGCUGGGGAUCAACCUUCUCUUGAGUUGGUGUACUUCCCAGUUGACGGGUCAGCAUCGAUUUUGACUGUUGGAUAAAAGCUGGAGGAAUGUGGCAUCUCCGGAUGUGUUAUAGCCUCUUGUUGCAUACAACAGUUGGGAUCGAGGAACUCAGCACGCCGCAAGGCCGGGGUUUUACCCACGUACUGUGCUUACGAUGCUGGCAUAAUGGCUUUAAUCGACCCGUCUUGAAACACGGACCAAGGAGUC